GGGCUGGUAGUUCAGAGGAAGAACGCUUCCUUGGCAUGGAAGAGGCCGGGGGUUCAAUUCCCCCCCAGUCCACCA
rnacentral:tRNA from 1 species